rnacentral:misc_RNA from 1 species
GUGAUUUGACAUGUUGAUAAUUUUUUUGUAAAUACUAGAAAAGGGAAAUUACAUCGGUGAGAAAUUGAUUAUGAAACAAAUAUUAAUUUCCAGCUACCUGCUCCAUUGAUAACUUAUGCAGAAGCCAAGUCCCAUUAAUUAGCUAGUGAAACGCCAUCUCAAGCUUAUGAUAAACUUAAAAUCUACAAUUACCAGGAAACUCAGUUUAAUUCCAGAAAGAAAAAAAAAAAAAAAAAA